GUGUGAAGGGUUGGAGUAAGAGUGAUAGGGUAAGAGUGAGACGCGAUGCUAAAGCUACGUUGUUAGGGGUUGGGGUAGGGGUCAUAGGUUAGAGUGAGCUUUAGGUGGUAUGUUAUGGUUGGGUGUGAGGGUUUUAGGGGGAGGUUAGCUUGUUGGUACAGGGGUUAGACUAUUGCAAAGGAAAGGUUUAGGUGUUAUGAUUAGGUUGUAGAUCUAUGGUAAUGUCAGGGUACAGGUAGGGUUAGGUGUAAGGAUGAGAUUAGAGAUUGAGAUGUUGGGGUAAGGUUAGGGGUGAAUUUAUUCAGGGUAAAUUGUUGGUUGUCAGGGAAGGGGAAGGGUUAUGGCUUACAGUUAUAAAUGAUGGUCAGGGUUAGUUCAAUUUAGGGUUGUAUUAAUAGUUAUAAUUUGGACUUACAAAAAAUAUUGAUAUAAUGCCAGCCUCCUGUGACCAUCCUGAUAAUCACAGUUACGUUUAACAAUGAUCAGUUUGGCUAUAGCUGGGCAGCCAUUGAUUAUGAAAUACGGCCUUGGUUUUACUACUGACCGACGCUCAUCAACUUGAAGAAUCCGGUUGGAGGUUAAUCAACAAACAUAUUUUCUGAGAAAAGCCUUCCCUUCAGAUUUCUAUCAAUCUUUUAUCAUUGUUACUCGGAUAAAACUCCUUUGAUUGUUACAUAUUCCUUGGGUGCAGCCAUUAUGAAAUUGUAUGUGAUACCAAUUGUAUUUCAUGAACUGAGAUCCCCUCCCCGGGAUGCUGAUUGGUCAACGUUUGGGUCAAGGCUUUCAACAGAAUCUCCUGAGAAUAACAGAAUGUGAUCGAGAUGAAUCACAUGGCUAAUAAAAUGCAAAAACGUAGAAGACACUCACCUAUCUCAUUCCUGCAGUUAUCCUAUUCCCAUAUUCUCUGAUUGCGUUGGAUACUAUUCCAGUUGCUCCAAUAUUGAUUCCAUGGUUUGAUGGUUCUCAGCCGUCUCAACAUUGGAUUGCAGUGUUUGCCGAAUCCCAAAUCAUUUCUUUGGGGAUCGGACAAGUUUGAACAGUUAUACCAUGCAGCCCCUUUGAGAACCACUCCCAUAACUGAGGCAGCCAGUCAGGCUCUCAGGACUCUCCCCCUCUCGAGUCACAUCAUUCAGAGCACCCUUCCUCCCGGAGUCCUUGUACGAGUCUGUAACUAGAAGAAGGAGAGUAUGAAUACUUUUGUUAAAUCUACAACGAUUAACUAUCUUACGUUUUUGGGGUGGAUCAAGAACUACGCUCAGAGUCGUACAGAUAAACAGACGCCAUCUCUGCUUACAGUCAAUUUAGAGCCUGUUCAUAAUCGACCAGUCAAUCCAAUCCAGUGGUUGGUCUACUCUCAGACUAAUAAUAGAAAGUCACUCUGUAAAACCAUUAAAGCAUUGAACUUGUAAUCAAUGUAUUGGUCUGAUCUGCUGAACAUGCAAUAUAUCAGGCCACUCUUCCUUUCUCUCUCUCUGUAUCUCUCUGUCGCUCUCUCUCUCCUCCUGUAUUCCUCUCUCUUUUCUUAUAUGUACUCUUAUUUAACAAAGCUUGUGCUGAUUUGUUUCAAAGCAAUCUCCACCUUGUAUCUGGUUGAUUUUAGGGGCCUCUCUAUUCCUUGGAUUUGUUUGAAUAAUUGAAAAUGAUUUAGUUUGUUUUGUAAAACUCAACUCUAAGAAAAUCAUGUCGGCCUCACAAUGAGGUCAUCAAGAAAAUGGACCACGUUGAAUACACGUGGAAAAGAGUGUCUGUGAGGUUGGUAGCGGGUCCAGGGCCAACAUGUGGUCCGCAGCUGCUUCGUCAGGAGAAAAUAAAGAAGGAACCUCAAGCAAUGACUUGGAAGGUAAGUCCCCAUUUCUACUGCAUGUAUAUUGAUGAACCGCGUUGGAUAACUAAAAGCUGUAGAGGAGGACAAUAGUACAUCAAAUUAAAGAAAUCGAUUGUUAUCUAACCCAUUUUAUGAAGAAACGGAACAGAGUCAAACAAGAUGAAACAUAAUAACGACGUACAGUAUGACGUAUUAACCUGAAUCCGGGCAGCGGUCCCCUCUUCCAUUGAGGUUUGGCUGGGUUUGUAGUACGAGCAUUGAUUGACUCUGAGCUGCAUCUCCGAUCAAUAAGCUGCCCUCCCCGAGGUUGUAAACCCUUAUCUGUUUCCUCAGAUCCUCCAAUGCUGUGCGGGCAUCGACCCGUUGUCACUGUCGGGCUGCGCUGCAUACAGAUGUGUGGCCUGGGACGGAAAAGGUCAGGGUUCACUUGUGGUAGUGGCGAGACAUUAGACCUGGUUCGAGUGUUGUGGUGCCAGAUGGCUUUUGGGCGGAGUGGGAGCAAUUGACCAAGAUGUUUCCCUGAUUCCUCAUCCACGUGUUCAGACAAUGCAGUAGCGUUAAGAAACACCAAUCGAAAUCACAUUACCUCGCGCCAUGUAUCAUUAGCUGCAAACCGUACAAUAAACUGUCUUCCAACACCAACACCCAGCGUCCUCGUGUUUGGAGCCAUGCACCUCAGAGUCCGCAUCUCAACACAAAUGUAGUCACAUUAAUAACUACAUUUACUAUCAGUUCAUUUUAAGCGGUAAUUGAGUACAGUGCACACUUAAAGCGGGCAUGAAACGGCCUAGUGUUGACGGGUAUUGUACAGAAUUAAGUCUGUUGGAGUGUUUCCCGAGGAUGUUUUUGAUGUAAAACGUUUACACGUUAAAUUCGAAGAGAUUUGCCGUUGGCGAUAAUGUAUACUCUCGCCGGCUUGCCGCCACACCGCCGCUGCGUCACGGACUGAGUCGUGAGGUUGGUAAGUUGGAAAGUCAGCCCAGGAAGAAGACCUUCACGCUACAACCUCUCACAUUCAGAGUGCACAUGGCCGAAGACUCCUCCAAAGUUAUUUGGAGGAGACAACCAGUGGCUUACACAGUUGAGCCAGUGAGGAGGGAAAGAUGAGCCUCAAACUCGCGUUUGUACAGAGGACAAAGCAGAGCCAUCCGUUCCCCUCGGUGCGGAUGGGGUUGACCACACCACCUGCUGCUCGUGUGGUCUCUGCACUUAAAGACCAACCGCUCGCGCUUCGAUCCGCUGUCAGGAGGCUUGCGUAGACCACUUGCUUCAGGAGUUAGCCUGGCCCGUAUUUACCAGACCUGCUAUGAAAGGGAUGUAUUGGCAGUGUCCAUGCUCAUUGCUCUCCCUUCGAGAAGUCUGAGCAGAGACCCUGGAGCGGCCCAUCCAAUAACGGUCGUUUAGCUACCUUAGCUAGCCUAGUUUCUGGGUUAGCUAUCCCAGAAACUAUAGCUAUUUAGCCUGUACGACGGUGUAGUGCAGGCUAAAUAACGGUUCAAUGUUUAAAACGUCGGUAUGAAUCUCUCAUUGAGUCACUAAUUAUAGGUGACUCAUCAGUAGGUAACGACCUCUCUGGCUGUCAGAUGGGCGUGCCGUUGUGCAAUUUCCUCCCGGCGCACACCUAUUGAACUGCUAGCAGACACGGAUGGAAGGUCGGUACACCCAGCCUUGUACGAGGAAAAGUCCAUAACACAGUGAGCAGCCGCAGACUUCAGCUUGCUGGUCCCGCGAACCCUCCUCUCCUCACAACCCCUCUCCCCCACAGAGGCGCCGUUUACGUAGUGCUCACUUCACUACACCUCACAGCUAGCUGGAGGGUUCUGCUGUUUCAGUGCCGCUGGCCAACGUUGAAGAACCAUUUGCCGCUUGAGAGACAAAGCAUGAAAGUGGAAACCGAUCUUGGUUUUUGGACUCUGCAUAUGAAUCAUUGCUG